GUCUAUAUAUUAGUGGCGGAGGGUUAGUAAUACAUGGAUAACAUGCCUUUUAGCUCGGGAUAACGGUUGGAAACGGCCGCUAAUACCGGAUGAGGUGGUGCAAGAUAACUUGCACUUAUCAAAGAUGGGGAUCUUCGGACCUAUCGCUAAAAGAGUGGUUCAUGGGAUAUCAGCUUGUUGGUGGGGUAAAAGCCUACCAAGGCUAAGACGUCUAGGCGGAUUGAGAGAUUGACCGCCAACACUGGGACUGAGACACUGCCCAGACUCCUACGGGAGGCUGCAGUCGAGAAUCUUUCGCAAUGGGCGAAAGCCUGACGAAGCGACGCCGUGUGAACGAAGAAGGCCUUCGGGUUGUAAAGUUCUUUCGCCUGGGAACAAGGGAUAUAUAUAAAUAAUAUAUAGACUUGAGGGUACCAGGUAAAGAAGCACCGGCUAACUCCGUGCCAGCAGCUGCGGUAAUACGGAGGGUGCAAGCAUUAAUCGGAAUUAUUGGGCGUAAAGGGCGCGUAGGCGGACUGGCAAGUCAUAUGUGAAAUUCCAAGGCUUAACCUUGGAACUGCAUGUGAAACUUCCAGACUAGAGGUAAGGCGGAGAAAAUGGAAUUUCCCAUGUAGCGGUGAAAUGCGUAGAUAUGGGAAGGAACACCGGCGGCGAAGGCGGUUUUCUAGCCUUCACCUGACGCUGAGGCGCGAAAGCGAGGGGAGCAAACAGGAUUAGAUACCCUGGUAGUCCUCGCUGUAAACGAUGCAUACUUGAUGUGAUUGGGCUCAACCCUGGUCGUGUCGAAGCUAACGCGAUAAGUAUGCCGCCUGAGGAGUACGCUCGCAAGGGUGAAACUCAAAAGAAUUGACGGGGGCCCGCACAAGCAGUGGAGCAUGUGGUUUAAUUCGAUGCAACGCGAAGAACCUUACCCAGGCUUGACAUGCAGGUUGC
rnacentral:rRNA from 1 species